rnacentral:rRNA from 1 species
AUUGAACGCUGGCGGCAGGCCUAACACAUGCAAGUCGAACGGUAGCACAGAGAGCUUGCUCUCGGGUGACGAGUGGCGGACGGGUGAGUAAUGUCUGGGAAACUGCCCGAUGGAGGGGGAUAACUACUGGAAACGGUAGCUAAUACCGCAUAACGUCGCAAGACCAAAGUGGGGGACCUUCGGCCCUCACACCAUCGGAUGUGCCCAGAUGGGAUUAGCUAGUAGGUGGGGUAAUGGCUCACCUAGGCGACGAUCCCUAGCUGGUCUGAGAGGAUGACCAGCCACACUGGAACUGAGACACGGUCCAGACUCCUACGGGAGGCAGCAGUGGGGAAUAUUGCACAAUGGGCGCAAGCCUGAUGCAGCCAUGCCGCGUGUAUGAAGAAGGCCUUCGGGUUGUAAAGUACUUUCAGCGGGGAGGAAGGCGGUGAAGUUAAUAGCUUCACCGAUUGACGUUACCCGCAGAAGAAGCACCGGCUAACUCCGUGCCAGCAGCCGCCGUAA